rnacentral:lncRNA from 1 species
AACAAACCAACUCUUUAUUAUCACACGAAUAUGAAUACAAGGUCUCCGAUAUUACAAUGAAUAACAUCGGUACAGCGACACUACUACAUUCUCAGUUGCUCUAUGCAAGCAGCAGAACAACUCGAAGCAGCGGAAUAACUCUAGCAGCGGAACAACGGCGAUGGUGGUGAACUCCACUCCGCAGGGACUCUGGCUGGAACGCUUAUCCUAGCUUGCAUGAACGGAAACCACGACAAGCAAGCAAUCAAAUCCGGCAUGACCUGCAACCUGGCGUGACACGCCAGGUCAGUACAUUGAAUGUACUUGCAUGCUCACAAUAACCAGAAGCAUUCAAGACAGACAACAGCUUGGCAAUUAUAGGUUAAACAGGAAUUAUCAUGAUAUCAUCAAAAUAACAUGGCAUCAUCAGCAUAAACAUGAUACAACUAACUCAACCUGAACAUAGCAUGAACAUAUUAAUCCGACAAUACUAGCAUGCAACAUAAUGACACUAUAUGCACCACUUAUUCUGCAUGGCUACCUCGUAACCAACACAUGCAUCACUUACCAACCUCGAACAUCACACGAACAUACACAACUCGGUAUCCUCGAUACCAGUGUGAUCCUUACGGCGAUCACAACCAACUUAUCUCAUUGUUAUUAAGCACAUUAUUCUUAUUACUCUUGACUCAUGGUGUGACCUACUUUCGACCUGGGCCCUUAUCCGCGGGCGCGGCUAUCGAUAGAUUUAAUAUACACUCUGCAGAGGUUAGUACACUGUACCCACACUACAGAACCCAUGGCCUCGCACUCCCAUUCGGGUGGACCAACGGCAUUCCGGCAAAACCUUCGUACUGCCAUGACACUUUCCCGGCCACUCCGACUCACUCCCCACUGGGCUAAGUCAUGGGUGGCCCCGUGUCUACCUCCAGACACAACGACCACCACCGUGGCCAAAACAUAAACGAUCCCACACGGGGAUCCGUCGGCUAUAACAACUACGGGCACACAAGGUUAUGCCUGCUUACCGGGCCAGGGUAUAGCACGCCCAUAACCUUCCCUCGUUGGAGGCACCAACGAGAGGCACGACAAUAGACCCAAUUAGGACUGUCCCAUACCGGCAAGUGUGGUUGCACUGGUCAGCACCAAUUCAGCGGCACCAUGACUCAACCAACAGUUGUUCAAGUUCAAUUUAAUCCGGUUAACUUGAAUGCAAAUAUGCUGAGCCAUGAUAAAAUGCAUGAACAUGAUAUCAACAUAAUCAUGAGGGUAUCACAUAACUUUCCACCAUAUCAACAAUAAAUCAGAUCCACUAAGCAUCGCAUACUGACUAGCAUGACCAUCUCCAACAUCAACAUGUACUACUAGCAAGCAUAAACAUAUGAAAGGUAAUACUAGCAAGUAUAACAUGAUCACAUAGUACAAGACAACAUAGCACAAAAGUGAACAUGCAAAUCUGAACAUCACCGGAACAACAAUAACCAUCUUUUCAACAAGCAAACAUUUAUUAAAGAUUCAAGUUGAAAACCAUGGCUACUGCAUGACUAUCAUGCAAGUGGGUAUUGUGGCUUGCCUGGGAAUGAAGAAGGCACCGGGGGGAAGUGCGGUGAAGCCGCGGAAAGAAACACCGGAAAACGUUCUCUCUCGAAGGGGGCUGAAUAAGGGCAAGGGCAUAAAGGUCAUUUUCACAAUGUCAAACCAUAGUGAAAACAUGACCAACAGAACGGCCUCGGCGAAACAAAGAAGUGAGCGUUGGUUUCAUCUUAAACGGAGUUACGGAUAAAAAGAUAUAAGGGUUUUACUGCCAGGGACCUAUCUGUAAUGAAAAGAUUUUCACACAGGGGCCUGGACAGAAAAAGUGAAAGCGUAUUUUGGUGAUUACGUCUCCACUUACGCUGAUGUGGUGACGACCAGUCAAACAGAGGCGGGGCCGGCUUCAGGGUGGCUGACGCGCGGGGCCCGCGGGACCCACACUGCUGGUCAACGCCUACUCCCGCUCUCCUUCUUUUUCCCUGACGGGAGGAGGGGAGGGGCGAGGCAGAGGUGCUACCGGCGCUGGGCAUGGCGGCUUCGGCCAUCUCCGGCCACGGAGAGGGCACCGGUGGACUCGGGCAGCUGCACCGCGCCCAUUCAGAGGGAGAGCUGGCAGCGGGAGAGCUAGAGCGAAGGGGAGGCCGCGGCGACGAGGACUACAGAGGCGGCGGCUGGUCGAUGGGCACGGCCCUGGAGGGGCUUCGGCGAUGGGGUAAAGGGCAGGGAGACUCGCCGGAGUGUGGGGAAGGCGAUGGUGGUGGCUAGAGGUGGAGGAGGGCUCGGCUUCGGCCGAAUUUUGGCCGGAGGGGGCGGCGGCCAUGGCAGCAAUGGGGGCACAGAAAGCUCCCGGAGCUCGGGCUAGAAUCUAGGCGGGGCACAGGGAGGUGGGUGAGGCUAGUGGGGUGCUCAGACGACUCGGGGAAGGGCUAUAUAUAGCCGGGCGAGGAGGGGAGGCCAUGGACGCGUGGCCGUGGCUCGGGUGCCGCUGUGCGCAUCUGGCCGACGCUCUGGCGAGGCCAGCGAGCAUGGGAGGGCUCGGGGAAGGCGACGAAGGAGAACGCGGACGAGGCACAGGGGUCACGGAGACGAGGCAGAGCUCGGGGACAAGCGAAGUAAGAAGCCGAGCGCCAUUAAUGCGCUGUCGGCCAGAGUGCUCCCGUGGGCGAUCGUCGGCGAGCGCCGACGAGGAGGCUUCGGCAGGGGGAGAGGGGUCCAGGAAAACGGCGACGACGAGGGCUACCUACUAGACAUCAUCACGAGCGCGAAGCCGACGAGAGGGGGAGGGGGUCCAGCACAAACAUCCACUGGACGUGCGCAUGGCAUGCCAAAACGGUGGUCACCACCAGUGCUGGCAUGUGGGGGAGGCAAACAACUAGAAAUUGAUGUCUAGUGGUAAGUCCUUCGAAGGUUGGUUUCAACUGAGGUGGUAACUUGGUGAAAGAGGCUCUGGUUAAAAAGUUAGUGAGCUCUGAAGUUUACUGCAGUAAACUUCACCAGCUCAAUGUGGUCAACAGGGAGCUGUUAAGGGCCAAACAAGUUGUCUGGGAUGUUUAGCUAUGGAGGGACUAUGAUCCUGGAGGUUUUGAGGGUAAAAGGAUCAAGAUUUACUGCAGUUGCUUCACAACUGCAUACUUGGUCCAGAAAUAAAGAUCAGGAAGAUGCACUCACAUGGAGUGUCCACUUGAGCUAAAAUUGGUCAAGGCUUAGCAAUUUGGACAUAUUAAGAUGAUGUAAAAAGCUCAUGCCAAAUGGACAAACCAAAAUAGCACUUGCUUCACAAACAUCAUUUCUAUCCAGAAACUUGGAAUAAUUAUGGUGGUCAAAUGGCUCAAUGAAAUUAUGCCAAAAUGGGUGGAGAGAUGUUUUAUGGGUAUAAGAAUGAUCUGGUAAUUUAUCAGGAUUUUUGAAGCAAUAUAAAAUAUACUUGCUUCACAACCUGAAAAUAUUGCCAGAAUCAAAGAUUUUCUCCUGUGCUCACAUACGUAAUUGGAUGGGGCUGAAAAUGGGUGGAAGGUGUUAAUAUGAGCACAUUAAGGAGUUUGCAAAAGUUCAACUCAUUUGGGUACCCCUAGCUAGUACUUCCUUCAGAAAGCCUUCUAUUUGACAGAAACUUUGAAAAUUCCCUGAGGAAGAUUGGCUAGGAAAAUAAAUUUUAAAUUGUGCAUGAGGAAAUUAUUUGCACAUAUAAACAUUCCCAAAAAGGUUGGUAGUCAAUAGGAGGAAUAUAAAUGACAGUUCCUUCACAAAGUGCCAUUCAGGGAAGAAUUGGAAAUGAAUUAUUGGAGGAUUAUUUUUGAACAUGGCAAUGAAAACUUUUGCCAUAUUUGAUCAAGAUAUGACCCAAACAAUUUAUUAGAAUUAUUUGGGAAUUUUUGGAGUGAUGGAAAUAUAGGUUGCUUCACAACCUAGGGCAAUUUGAGUUAUUCCUUUAAUAGAAAAGGAAUAUUCCCAAUAAAAAGAAUAUUGGGAUUCGGGAUAGGAUGGAAAUGGAAAGGUCUAGGGAAAGAUUUGGGAAUGACAAGCCACUCUGGAAGCAAAGAAGAGGGGAUCUUCUUCAGUUUCCAGACCACAAGGCCAUGGAAAAAAGAAAACUCAGGCAAAAACCUCGGAAAAACAAAAGAAAAAGAAAGGGCCAAAAAUCAGGCUGUCACAAACCUUACCCCCUUAAAGAAAUCUCGUCCUCGAGAUUUGGUUGCUCAGGGAACUAGUAUGAAUAUUCUGACUUAAGGAAACUAUUUCCAACUCGGGUAUCCUUUUUCCUUUAUUGUUGUUCCCAUUAAAUCUUUAUCUGACUGGCCCUGGGGUAGUUUGAUUCACUGUAUCCUCCUUUUGUCAGAUCUUACCUUGCUUGUUCAUGCUUAUAUAGGCUCCAAUUUCUUUUUAGAUCUGCUGACUAGCUGAGUGUGAUUUGAUUAUCACGACUGAAAUAUAUGUCCGUCUCACAAAUCCAAAAGUGAUUUCCGCUAGGUGUGCUACCCGGCACUGACAACCUUUCCUAUAUUGAUGAUCAGAUUUUCUGAUGAAAACUCAAGCUCUGACUCAUUGCAUUGGGUUUCUCCACCAAAUGCAGGUCAUUUGGGCUCCAAACAGUGAGUUAAAACAUAACCGUUUCCUGACAGAUUUUGACUCAUCUCAGAAGUUUCUGAAUCAUCUUAAUCGGUUCCACUGUCAUGAGUACCGGAUCCGUACCAAAUAUUUGAUUAUCUCCUGUCCUGUCAUGGCCAGCAUAAAGGGUCUGGCCUGUAUGAUAAUAUCUGGAGACUUGGCUGACGGUGGUUCUGACGGAAUUUUUUUUGUUCACGACAGGCUAUCCAUGAUGAUUCAUAUAAGUGAGGACUCAGGCUUGUAGCUUAUCCUCAUUUUUCUUGACAGGGUAACCUAUUAAAUGACAGGUUCAACACCUCUCAAAUUCUGAUCGUUGGGAAAUGAUCAUCCGAAACCCUUGCAAGAAAAUCGGCAAAUAAAUCAGUAGCCACCAGAACGGUCUUUACAACUCAGAUUUGGGACAUUACUGGAAUAACUCAACCAUGGCUCAGGACGGCCGAAAAACAGCUCAGAGCAUGAGACCGGGUUGAUAAGAAGAAGGUGGCAGCUCCCUAAAAUAUCCAAAAAGCAGCUAUAGGACUACCGUCACAAAAGAAACUCAACAGCUGUACGGGACGGUUGAAAAGCAGCUCAGACUCGCGACAGUCGUUCAAGAGAGAAACAAAAAUUGGCAUCCACCCCGGAUAGCUAGAAACAACUCAGAUCACAGGCGUGGUGCCGUCAUUGGAGAAAAAGGGGACAAGGGCUCAUCAAGAUCAUUUUCUAGGUUCAUGGGUACUUGUAUUGAUCUCAUUGAUGUCGUCAAUCCUCAUAAUCCUUUGUCACACUACGGUGUAUACUGGCUUUCUUCUAUUAAUCAUCCUCACGUGGUUAUUAGAUCUUCAUCCGAGUGACUUGUAAGAUCUUUGGUGGUAUGCUCAUCGCAUAUAUAUGAGGACCUGAUUCGGAGACAGAUGUGUAUUCUGACUGAUUCUUGCUUCUGACCAAAAGGUCGCAGAUCUGAUUCUUGCAAUUCACUGCCAUAUGCUGUCAAUUCACAACGUACUACCUUGUACCAAUGUCUUACUAAGGAAUAUUUGCUGGCUUGUGCUCGAAACUUUCAUCUGACAGCUUGCUGAAGAAGACUGGGUAUCGUGCUUCAGAAGCUUACCCCCUUAAAGACUUUGCUGGGGAGAGACUCAGUACCUUAUGCCGGAAGUUUUUGCGGUUGCUUACUGAAGAAGACAGGGUACCUUGCACGAGAAGUCAUCCAUGUAUUGCACUGAGGAAGAUAGAUGAAUCUUGCCUUGGAAGCUUCUCUGGUAUUUUGCGAGGGAAGAUUGGGUUGCUUACAUGAGAAGCUUAUUAUUGUGAUAUGCGGACCGAUUCCCACAUAUAUAACCACCUGAAUAUGUUUGCUAUUGAUUUCUUGCAUGAAACGGGGUUUUGCAGGACUAUCCUCCUUUCUGAGUACAUGCCAUAUUUUGCUUGCUUCCAGGUACAUCGAGUUCCAAAAUCAUAUUCAACGAAAAAUUAAACUUGUAUCUGAGCCAUACCUUUGAUAAUAUUCUGUCAACCUUGCACACAAUUUAUCUUCUUGCUGAUUUAAUCAUUUUUUUGUGAUGAGUGUACGCUAAUGCAAACUUGAUACUGACGGUCCAUCCAGGAUUUCUUUUGCAUCCAGACAAGAUAUUCCCAAUUUCACUGCAGUCAGCUGAUAAUUCCAUUCCGUUUUACUGAGUUUCCAAAUAUAUGCAUUUCUUGCUGACUCUUCGGGUCCGGUGUCGGUUGACGAGCAACUUUAAUAGGGAAAAAAAUUUGUAACACGCCCAAAGAAAGGAACAACAGAAAUGACUAAAACAAAAGCACACAAGCAUACUACUGAUAUAAUUAAUCAAGCAAUCAUCACAUAUUACUGCUACUCACACAAUAAUAUGCAUGCACACCUAAGCACAUAAAUCUCGCAGAAACUUUGGUAUUGCGGUCUAAUAUGCUAUGACGAUGUGCACGAGGACGAAUAAAUGUGUGGAAGAAUUGGUGUAAACAGCGCUACACCAAGUGCUAGCUUAGCUAGGCAGCAACCUGAACUAGCUCGGAGGCGAGGACGUACUCGGUAAUCAUGUAGUGGGACACGAAGUUCGCAACCACAUUAUUAUCAAGCGGAUGGAAAAAGAUCUGUACUCGUCCAAGAAAUAGGAUAGCGGGGAAAAACUGAGGCUGCUAACAUUGCCCUUUCUUGAUAACUAAGAUCAUUAAGGGUUGCCAACACGACAAAAGAAAAGAAUGAUCCGGGAUAGACGCAUGUCCAUCACUGAAAUGAUAGGCGGGACUGAAGGAAAAACAUCGGUGCGAUACCUGAGCACCAUUUUUGCAAACAGUGUCGGGAUUACUUGGCAUCACUCUGCUGGGACAGAAAUGACACCAAACACCGAAAGAAAAAGGAACUGGAGAAAUGCAAAGAUUGAGCUGUAGUGGAUCCGAACCGAUGCCAGCUACACUAAUCAGAUAAACAAUUAUCACGAAUACUAAGGCUAUAUGCAUGCUAUACAACAAACAAAUGCAACAACCAAGUGCAACAAACCAACUGGGGUCUAUACUACUGCUUUCUAAUGUUCGCACGGUCUAGGGCAUCCUACAACCAGACCUGCUCCGAUACCAAGCGCUAUGGCACCCCGGCUCAGAGAAACUGGAACGCCCCAUAUUCCAGCCCAGAGAUCGAGGAGAAGUCUUCUGGAAUACGGCAUUGCUUAGCAUAGAACAAACCAGCUCUUUAUUAUUACACGGAUAUGAAUACAAGGUCUCCGAUAUUACAAUGAAUAACAUCGAUACGGUGACACUACGCCAUUCUCAGUUCCUCUAUGCAAGCAGCAGAACAACUCGAAGCAGCGGAAUAACUCUAGCAGCGGAACAACGGCAACGGUGGUGAACUCCACUCCGCGGGGACUCUGGCUGGAACGCUUAUCCUAGCUUGCACGAACGGAAACCACGACAAGCAAGCAAUCAAACCCGGCAUGACCUGCAAGCUGGCAUGACACGCCAGGUCAGUACAUUGAAUGUACUUGCAAGCUCACAAUAACCAGAAGCAUUCAAGAUAGACAACAGCUUGGCAAUUACAGGUUAAACAUGAAUUAUCAUGAUAUCAUCAGAAUAACAUGGCAUCAUCAACAUAAACAUGAUACAACUAACUCAACCUGAACAUAGCAUGAACAUAUUAAUCCGACAAUACUAGCAUGCAACAUAAUGACACUAUAUGCACCACUUAUUCUGAUCGGCUAUCUCGUAACCAACACAUGCAUCACUUACCAACCUCGAACAUCACACGAAUAUACACAACUCGGUAUCCUCGAUACCAGUGUGAUCCUUACGGC